rnacentral:rRNA from 1 species
AGCGCAGACGGAACUGCAAGUCUGAUGUGAAAGCCCGGGGCUCAACCGCGGGACUGCAUUGGAAACUGUAGAUCUGGAGUGCCGGAGGGGCAAGCGGAACUCCUGGUGUAGCGGUGAAAUGCGUAGAUAUCAGGAGGAACACCGGCGGCGAAGGCGGCUUGCUGGACGGCAACUGACGUUGAGGCUCGAAAGCGUGGGGAGCAAACA